GUGGGGAAUAUUGGGCAAUGGGGGAAACCCUGACCCAGCAACGCCGCGUGAGGGAAGAAGGUUUUCGGAUUGUAAACCUCUGUCCUUGGUGACGAAGGAAGUGACGGUAACCAAGGAGGAAGCCCCGGCUAACUACGUGCCAGCAGCCGCGGUAAUACGUAGGGGGCAAGCGUUGUCCGGAAUGACUGGGCGUAAAGGGCGUGUAGGCGGCCGAUUAAGUCUGGAGUGAAAGUCCUGCUUUCAAGGUGGGAAUUGCUUUGGAGACUGGUUGGCUUGAGUGCGGAAGAGGUAAGUGGAAUUCGCAGUGUAGCGGUGAAAUGCGUAGAGAUUGGGAGGAACACCAGUGGCGAAGGCGACUUACUGGGCCGUAACUGACGCUGAGGCGCGAAAGCGUGGGGAGCGAACAGGAUUAGAAACCCGGGUAGUCC
rnacentral:rRNA from 1 species